rnacentral:lncRNA from 1 species
ACAAAUUUUUCUGCAAUAAAACAAAUUUUGAUUUUAUAUUAUCUAUUUUUCCUUGCAAUGGCGUGUAUGAAAAAUUGAUGUUAGAAUGUUUUUGUUAUUAGCAAUAAUGGAUUUGAUUCUUUAUUAUGUUAUUUGUGGAAAUGUCGAAAAUUUAACGAAUAGGGAAAGUCUCUCAUCGCCCAAGUUUCGAUUGGACAGAAACUUGGAAUCAUGCAACUUGGUUGCACGAUGAAUGAGAAAUUUCAUAUUCGGAAAUUAGACUAAUUCGUUGACAAAGUGUCAAGUGAAGGACUAGGAGCUCGAGUACACAAAGUUGUGUGUUGAUCAAGUCCACCACAAGAAUAAUAAGGAUAUUCGUCAUGAUUUACUAAAAGUUUAGUGAAUGUGAUUAUACUUACAAGAUUAAGUGUAAUUCUGAAUUGAUUAAAGGGUAUAGAUCAAUAACAUAACGAAUAAGAAGAAUCAAGUAGGCAGAAAGAUAAAAAUUUCUCUAUUCUAAUAAGAAGGGAGAAUAUCUUUUAUGCUUUAUGAUAAGUCUUAAUGAUUAGGAACCAUAUCUCAGUUGAUCCUCUAAGUGAGUCUUAGUACAAUUACAUGUCUAAGAAGAGGAAUCAAGAAUUAAAGAAAUGGUUAAAUCAAGAAGUCAAUCAUACUUCGUUCCAAAACAAGUCUUAGAGUUAAGAUUGUGAAAUUGAGUGAUAAGUAUUAAGAAGGUUUAUAACAUUCAACAAAUGUGGAAAGUUGUGAUGUCUUGGAUAAGACAAAGACCAACUAGGACCAAUUUAUGAAGUGUUUUGAUAAAACUACACUAACUCUUGAAUAUUUGUUAGUCAAGAAAUGUUUAUUGACAAAAGAAUCUUAUAUGUCAAGGAGUCAGUGGGAGUCUUAAUGGUCUUGAAAGGUUUCAAUAACAAAUCAAAAUAAACCUUAUCGAUCAUCACUAGCACACGAGUUGAGGUUUACAACUUAUCGUGUUGACACUAUUUUGUUUCUGUGCCGUUCCAAUUGAGUUAAUUAUGCAUGUGAAUUCUAUGAGUUCUCAUUUGAAUGCAUAAAAGGUAGGCACCUUGAUCAAUGAAAAGUACAUUGAUAGGAAAAGGUGAGCUGCUUAACUACUUGGAAGACAUGANGACCUUGAUCAAUUGAAAGUACAUUGAUAGGAAAAGGUGAGCUGCUUAACUACUUGGAAGACAUGGUGGGCAGCUGUGCUACCAUAAGGCAAGAAAUCAAGAUUAAGAAAGUUCGGUCCAUAUGAGUUUGAAUUUGUCGUAAACUUUGGUUUUGACAAAUUCACAUGGAUAGGAACACAUACACCAUUAAAAUCUAAGUGUCAUAAGAUUCCCUCCUUCAUGAAAAUGACUGUGAGGAAAUGCUUUCACUAAGAAAGAUUUUAAAAGGAUAGUGAUUGUGAAAAAUUGUAUUCUCGAAUUCGAUUAUGGUUACGGUAUCCCUUUCCAUGAUUUGAAUUGUGAGGUUUGGCAAUUAGUCUGAAUUGUUUAGACACACAUAUGAGCUAUCUAAAGGAAAGGUGUAUAAGCUUAGAUAAAGGAUUAUCAAAGCAUUAGGUAUUAGAAACAUGAACUUAACAAAUUCAAUAGGUAUUGUUUUUCUGAAUGUUAAGCUGUUUCUGAAUACAUGUCAAAGCUAGUGGGAGCAUAAGUGUUAUGUUUUAUAAUAAUUAUCAUGAGAGUGGGAGCAUAAAUGUUAUGAUUGCAUGAUUAUUAUGGAAAGUAUUGCAAGUUAGCAAUAUUAAGUAUUGAAAACAAGAGUCAUAUUUUGCAAAGUUGUAAAGGUUGAAUAGUUAUUUUGUUAUAAUUAAGGGAGAGAAUAUUAUGCUUCAUUUCAAAUCUAAAGGCUUAGGUUGUGGAAUGUUAAAUAAUUUAGUCAAGGAAACAUAGUCUGUUCACAAAUUUCGAUUAUGAUUACGACAUUCCUCUUCAUAGUUCGAAUUUUGAGAACGUAGCACAUAAAAUAUUAUGGCAGAAGAUUGAUAAAGUAUUGAAUCUUCAUGUAAGACAUUAUGCAUCGUGUCCCAUAUGCUUCGGGUAUAGGAUGGAUUGCAAAUGCUAUAA